rnacentral:rRNA from 1 species
UAUGUGAUCGUCUCUCGCAUAUCAAUAAGCGGAGGAAAAGAAACUAACAAGGAUUCCCCUAGUAACGGCGAGUGAAGCGGGAAGAGCUCAAAUUUGAAAUCUUAAAGGGUUUCCCUUUACGAAUUGUAGUUUAAAGAAGUGUCUUCUGUUGAGGUUUUGGUAAAAGUUCUUUGGAAUAGGACAUCAUAGAGGGUGAGAAUCCCGUAUUUGACCUUUACUUUCAACUUUGUGAUACACUUUCAAAGAGUCGGAUUGUUUGGGAAAGCAGUCCAAAAUGGGUGGUAAAUUUCAUCUAAAGCUAAAUAUUGGCGAGAGACCGAUAGCGAACAAGUACCGUGAGGGAAAGAUGAAAAGAACUCUGAAAAGAGAGUUAAACAGUACGUGAAAUUGUCAAAAGGGAAGCGUUUGACACCAGUGUUGUUUUUCUGAAAAUCAAUUAAAGAACUGUUUAUGCUAAGUUGUUUAGACUUUAUCAGCUAACUGUUUAGUUUUGAGCUUUUCUUUAAUGCACUUUUCAGUUAACAAGUCAACAUCAAUUUCUUUUGCUGUAAAAAAGCUUGAGGAAGGUGGCUUGAGAUUCGUCUUAAGUGUUUAUAGCCUCUUGCCUAUGCAGUCGGAGAGAUUGAGGUCUGCAGCGUAGAUCCUUCGGGGCUAAAUGCAUUUGUGCUAAGUUAUAGCAUUUCAUAGACAACUUGUUGACUAUGAUUUGUCUUGUAGCUUACUCGCUUAUGUUAUUUUACCUACGCUUAGGAUGUUGAAUCUGUGCGAGACUAC